rnacentral:rRNA from 1 species
GAUGAACGCUGGCGGCGUGCCUAAUACAUGCAAGUCGAACGCUGGAAAUCUAGCUUGCUAGCUUGAAGGAGUGGCGAACGGGUGAGUAAUACAUAAGCAACCUACCCACGAAGACUGGGAUAAUCUCUGGAAACGGGGACUAAUACCGGAUAGGUAAUCGGAAGGCAUCUUCUGAUUAUUAAAGGUUAAAAACACUGGUGGAUGGGCUUAUGGCGCAUUAGUUAGUUGGUGAGGUAACGGCCCACCAAGACGAUGAUGCGUAGCCGGCCUGAGAGGGUGAACGGCCUCAUUGGGACUGAGACACGGCCCAGACUCCUACGGGAGGCAGCAGUAGGGAAUUUUCGGCAAUGGGGGAAACCCUGACCGAGCAACGCCGCGUGAGUGAUGACGGCCUUCGGGUUGUAAAGCUCUGUUGUAAGGGAAGAACGGUAGAUAGAGAAUAUCUAAAUGACGGUACCUUACCAGAAAGCCACGGCUAACUACGUG